UACGUAGGGUGCAAGCGUUAUCCGGAAUUAUUGGGCGUAAAGAGCUCGUAGGCGGUUUGUCGCGUCUGCUGUGAAAACUGGGGGCUCAACCCCCAGCCUGCAGUGGGUACGGGCAGACUAGAGUGCGGUAGGGGAGAUUGGAAUUCCUGGUGUAGCGGUGGAAUGCGCAGAUAUCAGGAGGAACACCGGUGGCGAAGGCGGGUCUCUGGGCCGAUGACUGACGCUCAUGCACGAAAGCGUGGGGAGCAAACAGG
rnacentral:rRNA from 1 species